UGGGUUCAGAACGUCGUGAGACAGUUCGGUCCCUAUCCGUCGCAGGCGUAGGAAAUUUGAGAAGACCUGUCCUUAGUACGAGAGGACCGGGAUGGACGUACCUCUGGUGUACCAGUUGUUCUGCCAAGGGCAUGGCUGGGUAGCUAUGUACGGAAUGGAUAAGCGCUGAAAGCAUCUAAGCGCGAAGCCAACUUCAAGAUAAGAUUUCCCACCGCAAGGGUAAGACCCCAGAAAGACUAUCUGGUUGAUAGGUCGAAGGUGUAAGUGCAGCAAUGUAUUUAGCUUAUCGAUACUAAUAGGUCGAGGACUUGACCAAU
rnacentral:rRNA from 1 species